CAUAUGGCUGCUAAUUUCUUCGUUUCCAAGCCGCCAGGGGCUGCUGCGAUCGGAUUUUUUCAUCGCGCGGUUGCGCCGAUUGCUGUGAUCGAAUCUUUCCCAUCUCGCGGCCGCGCCACCACCGAGAAGCGGAGAAGUGAAGGGGACGCCGGAGUAGGGAGGCGUCAAUCUACGGACCACAGACACGUUGCCGGACGGCUUAACGCACUGAUGAGCGGCAAAAACAUGAGCGGAAAAAGACAGUAGACAUGAACAGGAAGAAAGCGGAAUUGAUUCAAGCUCUCAACCGUCGAAACAUGAUGCCAGUGCAAACAACGUGCAACCUAGCGAAGGGGAGCAGCCUAAUCCACAAAGGACACAAGCAACGAGUGGCUUCGUUCAUGACCUUUGCGUGCACUUGAAAGGGGCAACACUUAAGGCGAAAAAGAAGAGUCUAAAAGGUGGAUCGAUAGAAGACAAGAGAUAAGGGAGGCCCAUCUUCGCACAAGGAACAAGGCCGAGGAAAGAACCAGACAACAACUGCCAAGCGUGAGCCGCCACUCCCCCCACCCCCGACCGCCGCAGUUAGUUAUAGCUAGGAUUCCCUCGGUCUUGCCUGAAUCAUUUUUACCCCACCACGGUACUAGGCCGGCCCUUUUUCGUUUGAUUUUUCCUUUCACUGUUUCUAAUUGAGAAGAUCGCUCGUGGUGGUUGAUGUACUGGUUUCUUCCGGGUUAUUUUCUUGUUUUUUUUUAUUUUGUUUUUUC